GCGGGUGUAGUUCAGCGGUAGAAUGUCUGCUUCCCAAGCAGAAGGUCGUGGGUUCAAAUCCCAUCGCCCGCU
rnacentral:tRNA from 1 species